CUGCUCUGCUGUCUCUAGACCCCAAAAAACAGCUUAAGGAUUUUUUUGAAGGUGAAAACUCACCGGCAACUGAACCGACUGAUUAGACGCAUGAGAACACGACAUAUGGUGUCUUAGAAGCGGCUUUUGAACUCUUGGAUAUGGCGAAAUUUUUUGCGCUAGGACCCUUGGUUUUGGUCCUAUGCUUGGUCUUAUGUGUCAUUGCUGUGACAAGACAGUCAAUUUAAAAAAGAAUCUUGUGAAAGUGAACAACAAAAAAACUGUACAAUUAAAGUCACUUUUCUCAUUCUGUCAAGUUCCAUGUAAUGGGUGGACCUGCUAAAACAGCUACACUUAAGAUGCAUGCGCUUCAAGUUGUGAACCAAGUCAAGCAAACCACAUCCGGCAAAGAAAAUAAGUGAAAAGUACUGCUACUCUGAGCUAAAAUUAAAGUUAUUCAGAGUUAAAAGUUAAAGAACGCUAUUAUGAGAUUUUCAGGAUUCUAAAAAUAAUUAAUCUUCGCAAAUUUAGUAUCAAAAAAUACCAAAUCUUUCCACAAAAUACUUUAUCUUGACACUGCAUUAGAUUAGUAGUCUAGUUAACUAACAUUUUACAGUAUUCUAGUUAUAGUCGAAGCUCUCAUGUAGAAGAUUUAGAAGAGUUGCAUAGAUAUAAUUUGCAUAUCUAUAGUCUAGAAUCUAUAAUUAUCUACCUCCACCCACACGAGUACAUUUGACCCCUCCCCCUUCCGCACACGUACUGUGUAUGAGUUUUAUGGCCAUAUAUAUUUGCCAGAAGCACACUAUACUGAGCCGAACAAAAGAAAAGAAAGCAAAGUGACAGAGCCUUGAGAAGGGGGAAGGGUUUUGUCGUGCUACAGGAAGCUGUGGUUGAGAAACUGAAAUAGUUUGUGUGCACGCUGUGUUUCCAUGGCAGCCAGGUCGCACCACAUACAGACCACUGCUAGUAACUCCCUUCCCCUUUCAGACCAAAGCUGACAGUUUUCACAAGGAGCCGUCUUGAGUUUCAAAGAAAAGAGAUGCGGAAUAUUAUGCGAAGGUGAUUUUUAGUGUGCAAUAGUUGAUUUGUUUUUAAAAUAAACAGAGCUUUUUAGUUGUCA
ensembl:lncRNA